GUGUUGUAUGAAAGGAGAGAAGGUUAUCACUCCCCUUGAAGCCCUCAUAGAGCAUACAACAUGCAUAUAGUUUAGGCACUGACACCUACUUAGUGGCAUCUAAACAUGUUUU
ensembl:snRNA